ACUCCUACGGGAGGCAGCAGUGGGGAAUAUUGCACAAUGGGGGAAACCCUGAUGCAGCCAUGCCGCGUGUGUGAAGAAGGCCUUCGGGUUGUAAAGCACUUUCAGUAGGGAGGAAGGUAGUGUAGUUAACACCUGCAUUAUUUGACGUUACCUACAGAAGAAGCACCGGCUAACUCCGUGCCAGCAGCCGCGGUAAUACGGAGGGUGCGAGCGUUAAUCGGAAUUACUGGGCGUAAAGCGCAUGCAGGCGGCCUGUUAAGUCAGAUGUGAAAGCCCGGGGCUUAACCUCGGAAUUGCAUUUGAAACUGGCAGGCUAGAGUCUUGUAGAGGGGGGUAGAAUUUCAGGUGUAGCGGUGAAAUGCGUAGAGAUCUGAAGGAAUACCAGUGGCGAAGGCGGCCCCCUGGACAAAGACUGACGCUCAGAUGCGAAAGCGUGGGGAGCAAACAGGAUUAGAUACCCUGUAGCACAGAG
rnacentral:rRNA from 1 species